rnacentral:rRNA from 1 species
GUCGGGAAAUCCACUCGCCUAACGAGUGGGCGUCCGGCGGAAACUACAGGGCUUGGGACCGGAAGACUUGAGGGGUACGUCUGGGGUAUGAGUGAAAUCCUGUAAUCCUGGACGGACCGCCGAUAGCGAAAGCACCUCAAGACGACGGAUCCGACAGUGAGGGACGAAAGCUAGGGUCUCGAACCGGAUUAGAUACCCGG